UACGUAGGUGGCAAGCGUUGUCCGGAAUUACUGGGUGUAAAGGGCGUGUAGGCGGGAAGGCAAGUCAGAUGUGAAAGCCCAUGGCUUAACUGUGGAACUGCAUCUGAAACUGUUUUUCUUGAGUACUGGAGAGGAAAGUGGAAUUCCUAGUGUAGCGGUGAAAUGCGUAGAGAUUAGGAGGAACACCAGUGGCGAAGGCGGCUCUCUGGACUGUAACUGACACUGAGGCGCGAAAGCGUGGGGAGCAAACAGGAUUAGAUACCCU
rnacentral:rRNA from 1 species